UUCACAAAUACUUGUGUCAAUCGCUCCGAGAGGGAGAGGGUGUGAGACCCAAAAUCGCCCCACAAGGGGAGGGUGUGAGGCCCACUUUCUAUCCUAUUCCUUCUACUUAAGAUUCAGUGUUCCUGCGACUCUGAUCGACUCCACCAUCUACCCACGCAAGCCUAUUCUGUCAAGCAAAGAUCUGUCUCCUCCAGAAUUUUCAUCUAUCGUGCUGAGAGAAGGAGUGAUUUCUUAUUCUACAGAUCAUAUACUGUCAAGGACCUUCAUUCCUUAACAGUUGAUCUUUGAUUUUUUUUUAAUCCGAUGUUGGUAAAGACCUAGUUCUUUAUCGAUGGAUCUGUUUGGUUAAAAGAUUAAGAGUCCUAAUCAGAGUAGUUUCUUAACUACCACGAUCCGGAUUCUUAUCAUCUUCUUGGAUUUUCUCAUAGGUUUAAUGUUUUAUUUUCUCU
rnacentral:lncRNA from 1 species